ensembl:snRNA U6 U6 spliceosomal RNA
GCGCUCGCUUCAGCAGCACAUAGACUAAAAUUGGAACAAUGCAGAGAAGAUUAGCAUGGUCCCUGCGCAAGGAUGACACACAAAUUUGUGAAGUCUUCCAUAUUUGU